CCUACGUGAGGCAGCAGUGGGGAAUAUUGCGCCAUGGGCGAAAGCCUGACGCAGCGACGCCGCGUGAGGGAUGAAGGUCUUCGGAUCGUAAACCUCUGUCAGCAGGGAAGAACGGUCACUGUGCUAAUCAGCAGUGAAUUGCCGGUACCUGCAAAGGAAGCACCGGCUAACUCCGUGCCAGCAGCCGCGGUAAUCGGGAGGGUGCGACCGUUAAUCGGAAUUACUGGGCGUAAAGCGCUCGUAGGCGGUAUGUCAAGUCAAGGGUGAAAUCCCCGCGCUCAACGUGGGAACUGCCUUUGAAACUGGCAAACUGGAGUGUGUGAGAGGAUAGUGGAAUUCCAGGUGUAGGAGUGAAAUCCGUAGAUAUCUGGAGGAACAUCAGUGGCGAAGCCGACUAUCUGGCACAUAACUGACGCUGAGGAGCGAAAGCGUGGGUAGCAAACAGGAUUAGAUACCCUUGUAGUC
rnacentral:rRNA from 1 species